AGUGAACGCUGGCGGUAGGCCUAACACAUGCAAGUCGAACGGCAGCACAGUAAGAGCUUGCUCUUACGGGUGGCGAGUGGCGGACGGGUGAGGAAUACAUCGGAAUCUACUUUUUCGUGGGGGAUAACGUAGGGAAACUUACGCUAAUACCGCAUACGACCUACGGGUGAAAGCAGGGGAUCUUCGGACCUUGCGCGAUUGAAUGAGCCGAUUUCGGAUUAGCUAGUUGGCGGGGUAAAGGCCCACCAAGGCGACGAUCCGUAGCUGGUCUGAGAGGAUGAUCAGCCACACUGGAACUGAGACGCGGUCCAGACUCCUACGGGAGGCAGCAGUGGGGAAUAUUGGACAAUGGGCGCAAGCCUGAUCCAGCCAUACCGCGUGGGUGAAGAAGGCCUUCGGGUUGUAAAGCCCUUUUGUUGGGAAAGAAAAGCAGCAGGUUAAUACCCCGCUGUUCUGACGGUACCCAAAGAAUAAGCACCGGCUAACUUCGUG
rnacentral:rRNA from 1 species